GAUGAACGCUGGCGGCGUGCCUAAUACAUGCAAGUCGAGCGAACAGACGAGGAGCUUGCUCCUCUGACGUUAGCGGCGGACGGGUGAGUAACACGUGGAUCACCUACUUAUCUGACUGGGAUCAUUUCGGGAAACCGGCGAUUAUACCGGAUAACAUGCUGAACCGCAUGGUUCAAUAGUGAAAGACGGUCUUGCUGUCACUUCUAGCUGGUUCCGCGCCGCAUUAGAUAGUUGGUAAGUUAACGGCUUACCAAGGCAACGAUGCGUAGCCGACGUGCGAGAGGGAUCGGCCGCACUAGAGCGGAGACACGGUCCAGACUCCUGCGGGAGGCAGCAGUAGGGAAUCGGCCGCAAUGGGCGAAAGCCUGACGGAGCGACGCCGCGUGAGUGAAAGAAGUCUUCGGAGCGUAAAACUCUGUUAUGAGGGAAGAACAAAUGUGGAAGUAACUGUACACGUCUUGACGGUACCUAAUCAGAAAGCCACGGCUAACUACGUG
rnacentral:rRNA from 1 species